CCAUUUUUGGACACCCCACCUGUAGAAAAUGAAUUUAAAAUUUUGUAUGUCUUGCCUAUUGUUCGAUGUGAGCACCGUUACAUUUUUCUAGACUUAGUUUGCUAUACCCUAAGAUUAUGAAAAUACUUACUAACCAGCAUUUUCUCGCUUCUGUAAUCUUGCUUGCUUAACACAUUCCUCCCCUUCCCCCUUCCCCCUUCCCCU